GACGAACGCUGGCGGCGUGCUUAACACAUGCAAGUCGAGCGGUAAGGCCCUUUCGGGGGUACACGAGCGGCGAACGGGUGAGUAACACGUGGGUGACCUGCCCUCAGCUCUGGGAUAAGCCUGGGAAACCGGGUCUAAUACCGGAUAUGACUCCAUGACGCAUGUUGUGGGGUGGAAAGCCUUGUGCGGCUGAGGAUGGGCCCGCGGCCUAUCAGCUUGUUGGUGGGGUGAUGGCCCACCAAGGCUAUGACGGGUAGCUGGUCUGAGAGGACGACCAGCCACACGGGGACUGAGACACGGCCCCGACUCCUACGGGAGGCAGCAGUGGGGAAUUUUCCGCAAUGGGCGAAAGCCUGACGGAGUGACGCCGCGUGUGGGACGAAGGCCUC
rnacentral:rRNA from 1 species